CUGGGAGACUCUUAGCUGUACACUUUGAAUGAUUCCCUGCUCACCUGCUGCACUCUGUCAACUAGCAAGGAAAAUUUUAGGGCAGAAGCCUAGGAUGCAGCCAGGUUCAGAAACCUCUCACUGGGCCUUGCGGUGAAUCCAUGCUCACACAUGGGCUGCCUGCCAAACAUUAACUAAAAUACUCACGCUUGUUUUCGACAACGGUCCUCAGGUUAAAUUUCACCAAGUGCUAUUUUGGGUGAGACGCUAUGGUAGAAAUGUCUCCAGAUUCCGGGUGGCUGUAAUGCCUCUGCAAAGCCACCUUUCAGCAUGUCCCAUUUGCUGUGCUUUCAAGUACUCAACUGUGUUGGUGCCUUUACAAGAUUCAGCCCCAAAGAAGGCCCCUUGCUUCCUCUUUGCCUUCUGCCGUGAUUGUAAAUUCCUGCGGCCUCCCCAGCCAUCUGAACUGAAUUUGGAGGACCUCUCAGUCAUUUAGAAUAUUGUUCCAAAUUAGAAACUGUUAAAUACUUUUUUUGAAUUUUAUAAAGAAGUUUGGAGAAAAACAACCCACACUUACAUGAAAGAGCAAAAACCCGGUGGAGCUCAACAGAUAAUUUUUUUUUUAAAGCAAAAGGGGAGUCAACUGAAGCGAUGUCUAUAACUAGCCUGAAAUAGAUAAUUCCUUCAGCACUGCAUAUAAUUUAUGAAAGUUUUAAAUAAGUCCAAGUUGGUACAUUUAAACGUGGAUACUAGAAACACAGGAUUCAGAUGAUACUGGCAUAAAAGACAGCAAGAAUUAUCUUCUACAAGCAUUGACAAGAAAGAGAAAGAAAUGUUCGCAAAUAUCACUGAGGAUUUUUUUUAAUGGAGAAGAAAAUGGCAUUAAUAAAGCAGAGACACUGAUGAAGAAGAGACA
rnacentral:lncRNA from 13 species